rnacentral:rRNA from 1 species
AGUGAACGCUGGCGGUAGGCCUAACACAUGCAAGUCGAACGGCAGCACAGUAAGAGCUUGCUCUUACGGGUGGCGAGUGGCGGACGGGUGAGGCAUACAUCGGAAUCUACUUUUUCGUGGGGGAUAACGUAGGGAAACUUACGCUAAUACCGCAUACUACCUACGGGUGAAAGCAGGGGAUCUUCGGACCUUGCGCGAUUGAAUGAGCCGAUGUCGGAUUAGCUAGUUGGCGGGGUAAAGGCCCACCAAGGCGACGAUACGUAGCUGGUCUGAGAGGAUGAUCAGCCACACUGGAACUGAGACACGGUCCAGACUCCUACGGGAGGCAGCAGUGGGGAAUAUUGGACAAUGGGCGCAAGCCUGAUCCAGCCAUACCGCGUGGGUGAAGAAGGCCUUCGGGUUGUAAAGCCCUUUUGUUGGGAAAGAAAAGCAGCAGGUGAAUACCCCGCUGUUCUGACGGUACCCAAAGAAUAAGCACCGGCUAACUUCGUG